AUUGAACGCUGGCGGCAGGCCUAACACAUGCAAGUCGAACGAGUGGCGGACGGGUGAGUAAUGUCUGGGAAACUGCCUGAUGGAGGGGGAUAACUACUGGAAACGGUAGCUAAUACCGCAUACCAUCGGAUGUGCCCAGAUGGGAUUAGCUAGUAGGUGGGGUAAGGGCUCCCCUAGGCGACGAUCCCUCGCUGGUCGAAGAGGAGGACCAGCAACACGGGAACGAGGACACGGUCCAGACUCCUACGGGAGGCAGCAGUGGGGAAUAUUGCACAAUGAGCACAAGCCUGAUGAAGCCAUGCCGGGUGUAUGAGGAAGGCCUUCGGGUUGUAAAGUACUUUCAGCGGGGAGGCGUUACCCGCAGAAUAAGCACCGGCUAACUCCGUGCCAGCAGCCGCGGUAAUAC
rnacentral:rRNA from 1 species